AAGGAGCACCUUCAACAUGUUCCCCCGUGCCCUAUAAGAGGUAGGGAGUUGCGCGGUUGGGAUAGUCGCCGGCGCCUGUAGUGGGUUGUCCGGUGGGUGCACAACAAACGUUUGAUGCGGUGGGGGAAACACCGUGUCGAGGACUGCCAGACACACUAUUGGGCUUUGAGACAACAGGCCCGUUCGGCCCCCUGGUGUGGGGGUGGUGUCCCGGUUGCGGGGUGCCGGUGUGUUGUUGCCCUGCUUUGGUGGUGGGGUGUGGUGUUUGAUUCGUGGAUAGUGGUUGCGAGCAUC
rnacentral:misc_RNA from 1 species